CCUACGGGAGGCAGCAGUGGGGAAUAUUGGGCAAUGGAGGAAACUCUGAACCAGCAAUGCCGCGUGAAUGAAGAAGGUCUUCGGAUUGUAAAGUUUCUUAGUCAGGGGAGAAUAAAAUGACGGUACCUGAAGAAUAAGCUCCGGCUAACUACGUGCAAGAAGCCGCGGUGAUACGUAGGGAGCAAGCGUUGUUCGGAAUGACUGGGCGUAAAGGGUGCGUAGGCGGGUAUGCAAGUUAGAAGGGAAAUACCCAGGGCUUAACUCGGGUGCUGCUUCUAAAACUGUAAGACUUGAGUGCAGUAGAGGUUAGUGGAAUUCGUGGUGUAGCGGUGGAAUGCGUAGAUAUUAGGAGGAACACC
rnacentral:rRNA from 1 species